rnacentral:rRNA from 1 species
AAUGAACGCUGGCGGCAUGCCUAACACAUGCAAGUCGAACGACACCUUCGGGUCUGCUUGCUCACAGGUGCGUAACGUGUCGGAACCUGCCCUUAUGCUCCGAAUACCUCUCUGAAAGGGGUUCUAAUGCCGGAUAAUUUCUUCGUACCAAAGAUUUCUCGCGAUUGUAUGGGCCCGCGUUGGAUUGGCUAGUUGUUAGUGUAAAAGCCUAUCACGGCUUGGAUCGAUAGCUGGUCUGAGAGGCUGAUCAGCGACACUGGGACUGAGACACGGCCCAGAGUCCUACGGGAGGCAGCAGUGGGGAAUAUUGGACAAUGGGCGAGAGCCAGAUCCAGCAAGGCUGCGUGAGUGAUGAAGGCCUGAGGGUUGUAAAGCACUUUUACCCGGGAUGAUAAUGACGGUACCGGGAGAAUAAGCACCGGCUAACUCCGUG